GAUGAACGCUGGCGGCGUGCUUAACACAUGCAAGUCGAACGAAGCACCUUAUUUGAUUUUCUUCGGGUCUGAUUAUUUUGUGACUGAGUGGCGGACGGGUGAGUAACGCGUGGGUAUUCUGCCUUGUACUGGGGGAUAACAGUUGGAAACGGCUGCUAAUACCGCAUAUGCGUACAGCAUCGCAUGAUGCAGUGUGAAAAACUACGGUGGAAUAAGAUGAACCCGCGUUGGAUUAGCUAGUCGGUGAGGUAACGGGCCACCAAGGCGACGACCCAUAGCCGACCAGAGAAAGUAGCCCCCCACCUUGGAGCUGAGCCGCGUCCCCAGAUACUGCGGGAAGCAGCAGUAAGAGAUAUAGCACGAUCAGCAAAAGCCUGAAGCACCCACGCCGCGUGAGCGAAGAAGUAAUUCGGUAUGUACAGCUCUAUCAGCACAGAAUAUAAUGACGGUACCUGACGAAGAAGCGCCGGCUAAUUACGUG
rnacentral:rRNA from 1 species